rnacentral:rRNA from 1 species
GUGGGGAAUAUUGGACAAUGGGCGAAAGCCUGAUCCAGCCAUGCCGCGUGUGUGAAGAAGGUCUUCGGAUUGUAAAGCACUUUAAGUUGGGAGGAAGGGCAGUAAGUUAAUACCUUGCUGUUUUGACGUUACCGACAGAAUAAGCACCGGCUAACUUCGUGCCAGCAGCCGCGGUAAUACGAAGGGUGCAAGCGUUAAUCGGAAUUACUGGGCGUAAAGCGCGCGUAGGUGGUUUUGUAAGUCGGAGGUGAAAUCCCCGGGCUCAACCUGGGAACUGCCUCCAAAACUGCAUGACUAGAGUACGGUAGAGGGUAGUGGAAUUUCCUGUGUAGCGGUGAAAUGCGUAGAUAUAGGAAGGAACACCAGUGGCGAAGGCGACUACCUGGACUGAUACUGACACUGAGGUGCGAAAGCGUGGGGAGCAAACAGGAUUAGAAACCCGUGUAGUCC